rnacentral:rRNA from 1 species
AUUGAACGCUGGCGGCAUGCUUUACACAUGCAAGUCGAACGGCAGCGCGGGCUUCGGCCUGGCGGCGAGUGGCGAACGGGUGAGUAAUGCAUCGGAACGUGCCCAGUAUUUGGGGAUAGCCCGGCGAAAGCCGGAUUAAUACCGCAUACGACCUGAGGGUGAAAGCGGGGGACCGAAAGGCCUCGCGCUAUUGGAGCGGCCGAUGUCGGAUUAGCUAGUUGGUUGGGUAAAGGCUUACCAAGGCGACGAUCCGUAGCUGGUCUGAGAGGACGACCAGCCACACUGGAACUGAGACACGGCCCAGACUCCUACGGGAGGCAGCAGUGGGGAAUUUUGGACAAUGGGGGCAAGCCUGAUCCAGCCAUGCCGCGUGAGGGAAGAAGGCCUUCGGGUUGUAAAACGCUUUUGUUCGGGAAGAAAUCCUCUGGGCUAAUACCCCGGGGGGAUGACGGUACCGGAAGAAUAAGCACCGGCUAACUACGUG